rnacentral:rRNA from 1 species
UACGUAGGGUGCGAGCGUUGUCCGGAAUUAUUGGGCGUAAAGAGCUUGUAGGUGGUUUGUCGCGUCUGCUGUGAAAAUCCGAGGCUCAACCUCGGGCCUGCAGUGGGUACGGGCAGACUAGAGUGCGGUAGGGGAGAUUGGAAUUCCUGGUGUAGCGGUGGAAUGCGCAGAUAUCAGGAGGAACACCGAUGGCGAAGGCAGAUCUCUGGGCCGUAACUGACGCUGAGGAGCGAAAGCGUGGGGAGCGAACAGG